rnacentral:misc_RNA from 1 species
GAAAAAAGGAAGUUAAUAUGAGAAACUCAAUACUUAGUUUGUAAAUGUGUUCAUACAAAUGUGUGGCAAUUUACAACAUAAUUCUAAUUAUGUUGGACAUAACUUCUUAGCUUCUUUUAGACACAUGAUCAGCCAGCAAUAAAAUUGCAUACUAUAGUUAAUGGGCUACUUGCAUCAUGCUUUUGGCAUCUAGUACUUCACUCACUAUUUGCAAACCAUUAUAGAUGGGGGGAAAAACAAUGCUUCAUUUGAGCAUUUAUUUCUGAGGGAUUUUUAAGAAAAUCUAACAUGAAAAGAAAAAAAGCAUAGCAAAAGAAAAAAACAAAAAUCUCAGGAC